rnacentral:rRNA from 1 species
AGCGAACGCUGGCGGCAGGCCUAACACAUGCAAGUCGAGCGCGUGUAGCAAUACACGAGCGGCAGACGGGAGAGUAACACGUGGGAACGUACCCUUCGGUUCGGAAUAACCCAGGGAAACUUGGACUAAUACCGGAUACGUCCGAAAGGAGAAAGAUUCAUCGCCGAAGGAUCGGCCCGCGGCUGAUUAGCUAGUUGGUGAGGUAACGGCUCACCAAGGCGACGAUCGGUAGCUGGUCUGAGAGGAUGAUCAGCCUCACUGGGACUGAGACACGGCCCAGACUCCUACGGGAGGCAGCAGUGGGGAAUAUUGGACAAUGGGCGCAAGCCUGAUCCAGCCAUGCCGCGUGGGUGAUGAAGGCCCUAGGGUUGUAAAGCCCUUUCGGCGGGGAAGAUAAUGACGGUACCCGCAGAAGAAGCCCCGGCUAACUUCGUGCCAGCCGCCGCUGUAAUAC